UUUAGUGCUAUUGAGACGUUUUCAGCCAUUGGGGUUAUUAGUUUGCAUGUAGGGCGAUUUCGUGGAUUGCUGACACGUUGUCCAGUGGGUUUGUAUUGUUUUCUGAGCACUGAUGAGUUUUCUGGAGGUUUGGAGUCUGAAUUUUUGAGCGCGAUUUAUGCUAGCGCGGGAUAUGUUACGUGGCUACAGUGCUUGUACCUCUUAUAUUGUGUUUCAGGAGCGGAGGUGCAGAAAGGGCAAUCUGAAGACACUGUAGUCUGUGCUUUGUGCAGCUACUUGAUGCAAUUAUUAAAACCAGGAGUCGCUGCAGGAGCAUACCUAUAGCCAGGAAAACAGGGAGAUUUGUCCAAGGGCUGAACUCCUAUCAAUGCAACAUCAAGCUCAGCUUCAUGAUCCCAUUCCAUCUUCUUCUACCGCUUAUCCUCACUAGGGUUACGGUUGUUACCGGAGUCUAUCCCAGCUGUCACUGGGCAAGAGACGGGGUACACCCUGAACAGGUCGCCAAUCUGUCGCAAGAGUAAAGCAGGGAGAGAUACAGCCAUCCACGCUCACCUGCACACCUACACCGAUUUACAAUCACCAAUUAACCCAACGAGCAUAUGUUUGGACGGUGGGAGGAAGCCAGAGCACCUGGACACAACCCACGCAGACACAGGGAGAACAUGCAAACUCCACACAGAAAGGCCCCAGUCGGAUUCGAACCCGGACCUUCUUGCUGUGAGGCAUCUUCACGAUCAGACAAAAAGAAACGACGAAAUGUUUUGCAUUUGAGUUGAAGGGAUGUGGGUGACCGUAGUGAGAAUAACUGGUAGUAGAAGAUGAGAUGCGUUAAAAUGUGUUUUAUGCAAGUACAAAAGCAGGAGGACUAGUGCAGCCGCUGCAAAAAACGGAACGGCCGCUGCCUCUGUGCUACUUACUUGUCGCCUUCGCCAUUCACAGCCUCCCAGGCGUCCCCACAAUUGGGCCAACGCGAGGGGCGCCAUCAAGCCCGCACCCGUGAAUGACAAGGCGACUGUAGCUCCAGCGCAGCAUAGCACUGGCCGUCCGCACAAUUACUUCUGUCAAUGUCCAUCCCGCACAUUGCCUGUUGUGUACCUGUCAAGUUUCCGUAGCUUCUUCCGGUUUGCCCUCGCCCAGUGGGCUGGCUUUGGCUUUGAGGCGUGACCAAGGGAGCAGAGGUGCAUAAAGAACAAUCUGAAAACACUGUAGUCUGUGCCUUGUGCAGGUAUGUGUUUUCCUUUGUUAAAUGUGUUAAAUGUGUCUCUAUUCUACUCAUUUCUCUUGUUGUUUUUCUUUCUGUAACCGCCUGGUGUCAUUAUCUUUUCAUGUAUUUGUUUCUCUCACAGUUUGAGAUUUGUUAUUAAUUACAAUUUUAUCAUUUAAAAUAGCUGCUAAACUGUAUCUUGUAUUAAAUGGCCAAGGGAAUGCCAAAACCCUGUUUUAAUACUAUAGCAUUUAUCAUUAUUAUUAUUAUUUAGAAGACAAAUAAUGAAAUUAGAAUGUGCUCUGAGGUUUUGCUGAGGGAGCAUUGGUACAGAAACAACAAGUUGAAGACCAAGUAUGUGUCUCUGUCUCCUUCAGGCAAACAAAUGCUGAAAACCCCACCGUUAGAUGAUGUCUUCCUGUACUGAGCAGAGCUGAGCAGUUUUCGUAGUUUGCAGUUGUAGUAGGGCUAAGCUAAUCUCUCGGUUGAAAGUCACACUGUUGUGUGGUGGCUGCAUUGAGGGGGGGGUUUAACAUUUAGUAAAUGUGAUAAUAAUAAAAAAAAAAAAAAAAAAAUGACUUUGAAAAAAUCAGACCUUACUCGUGUAUAUUUUAACAUGCGCAACUUCACAACAGCGAUCCGUGAGAUGAGGACCCAAAAAGUACAAUUUAGAUUUUUAAAAAUUAAAUUAGAGACGGAGGCAAAACGUAUGAAGGUUCAGUCACCUAACAGAGGACAUUUGAGCAAACAUCAUUUACUUAAAGCCAUGCAGGCAGGGAAGUGCUAGAGAGAAUUUAUUCUGCCCUGAUUGUAGUUGCCUCACAGGGCUUCUAAAGACACAAGCUUAUUUGACUUCAGCCAAACAGAUCACAAGCUUACUUCUCUGAGACU